rnacentral:rRNA from 1 species
CAGUCGCCACGGGAAUACAGAGGGUGCGAGCGUUAAUCGGAUUUACUGGGCGUAAAGCGUGCGUAGGCGGCUAAUUGAGUCGGAUGUGAAAUCCCCGAGCUUAACUUGGGAAUUGCAUUCGAUACUGGUUAGCUAGAGUGUGGGAGAGGAUGGUAGAAUUCCAGGUGUAGCGGUGAAAUGCGUAGAGAUCUGGAGGAAUACCGAUGGCGAAGGCAGCCAUCUGGCCUAACACUGACGCUGAGGUACGAAAGCAUGGGGAGCAAACAGGAUUAGAUACCCGCGUAGUCCCUGUCUCUUAUAC